GGCACGCAAAUUACCCACUCCCGGCACGGGGAGGUAGUGACAAAAAAUAACGAUACGGGACUCAUCCGAGGCCCCGUAAUCGGAAUGAGUACACUUUAAAUCCUUUCAUGAGGAUCCAUUGGAGGGCAAGCCUGGUGCCAGCAGCCGCGGUAAUUCCAGCUCCAAUAGCGUAUAUUAAAGUUGUUGCGGUUAAAAAGCUCGUAGUUGGUUCUGUGUGCCAUGCUGUUGGUUCACCGCCUGUCGGUGCAACUAACAUGUCAUGGAACGUCUUGUCGGUGGUAAUUAAAGACUUAUUUAUUAGUACAAGUUUUACUUGAACUAAUAGUAAGUUCCUUUAAUUACCGAUUAGUUCCUACCGCGGUGCUCUUCAUUGAGUGUCGAGGUCGGCCGACAAGUUUACUUUGAACAAAUUAGAGUGCUUAAAGCAGGCAAAAGUCUGCCUUGAAUAGUAGUGCAUGGAAUAAUAGAAUAGGACCUUGGUUCUAUUUUGUUGGUUUUCUGAAUCCAAGGUAAUGAUCAAUAUGGACAGGCGGGGGCAUUCGUAUUGCGACGUUAGAGGUGAAAUUCUUGGAUCGUCGCAAGACGAACUAGAGCGAAAGCAUUUGCCAAGUAUGUCUUAAUUGAUCAAGAACGAAAGUUAGAGGUUCGAAGGCGAUCAGAUACCGCCCUAGUUCUAACCAUAAACGAUGCCAGCUAGCGAUCCGCCGAUGUUUUUCUCAUGACUCGACGGGCAGCUCCCCGGGAAACCAAAGCUUUUGGGUUCCGGGGGAAGUAUGGUUGCAAAGCUGAAACUUAAAGGAAUUGACGGAAGGGCACCACCAGGAGUGGAGCUUGCGGUUUAAUUUGACUCAACACGGGAAACCUUAUCAGGCCCAGACAUUGGAAGGAUUGACAGAUUGAUAGCUCUUUCUUGAUUCAAUGGGUAGUGGUGCAUG
rnacentral:rRNA from 1 species